ACCUGGGAUAGCUCUGUCAGUAGAGCAUGAGACUCUUAACCUCAGGGUAAAGGGUUCAAGCCCCAUGUUGGGGA